GAUUUUAUUUUUUAUGUUUUUAGAUGUUCAUGUUUUUGAAUGUUUUAUUCGAAUAAUAUAAAAAAUAAAAUAUAUAUAUUGACAUGGAUUAAACAAAGAUAUAUAUUAUUCUAUGUUGUAUAAACAAAUUGGCAAAAUAGAGAUGGAAGAUAAAAAUAUGGUCAAAGUAAUAAGAGUCUAUGGUGAAUGCCUAGGAGCUUUAAGGCGAAGAAGGUCGUGGUAAGCUGCGAAAAGCUUGGGGGAGAAGCAAACAUUUAUUGAUCCCAAGAUUACCGAAUGGAGUAAUCCAGCUAGCAAGAUGCUAGCUAUCUAUUAUUUAAAUAAUAGAGGCGAUACCAGG
rnacentral:misc_RNA from 1 species